CCUACGGGGUGCAGCAGUCGAGAAUCAUUCACAAUGGGGGAAACCCUGAUGGUGCGACGCCGCGUGGGGGAAUGAAGGUCUUCGGAUUGUAAACCCCUGUCAUGUGGGAGCAAAUUAAAAAGAUAGUACCACAAGAGGAAGAGACGGCUAACUCUGUGCCAGCAGCCGCGGUAAUACAGAGGUCUCAAGCGUUGUUCGGAAUCACUGGGCGUAAAGCGUGCGUAGGCUGUUUCGUAAGUCGUGUGUGAAAGUCCCGGGCUCAACCCGCGGACGGCACAUGAUACUGCGAGACUAGAGUAAUGGAGGGGGAACCGGAAUUCUCGGUGUAGCAGUGAAAGGCGUAGAUAUCGAGAGGAACACUCGUGGCGAAGGCGGGUUGCUGGACAUUAACUGACGCUGAGGCACGAAGGCCAGGGGAGCGAAAGGGAUUAGAUACCCGAGUAGUC
rnacentral:rRNA from 1 species